AGAGUUUGAUCCUGGCUCAGAACGAACGUUGGCGGCAUGGAUUAGGCAUGCAAGUCGAACGAAUGCCGGGGUAGCAAUACCUCGGCGGAAGUGGCGAAAGGGGCAGUAAUACAUGAAUAACCUACCCUGGGGUUGGGCAUAGCCGUUCUAACGGACGGGUAAUUCCCAGCGAUUCGGCGGUGCCGGCAUCGGUACACCGGGAAAGAAUUUCGCCUCGGGAGGGGUUCAUGAGCUAUCAGCUAGUUGGCGGGGUAACGGCCCACCAAGGCGUAGACGGCUAGCGGGUGUGAGAGCACGACCCGCGCCACUGGCACUGAGACACUGGCCAGACACCUACGGGUGGCUGCAGUCGAGGAUCUUCGUCAAUGGGCGCAAGCCUGAACGAGCGAUGCCGCGUGAGCGAUGAAGGCCUUCGGGUUGUAAAGCUCAAAAGGGAUGAGAAAGGGAAACUUGAUCGAAUCCCAGUAAGCUCGGGCUAAGUUCGUGCCAGCAGCCGCGGUAAGACGAACCGAGCGAACGUUGUUCGGAAUCACUGGGCUUAAAGGGCGCGUAGGCGGGUUCGCAAGUCUGUGGUGAAAUCCUCCGGCUCAACCGGAGAACUGCCUCGGAUACUGCGGGUCUCGAGGGUGAUAGGGGUAUGCGGAACUAUCGGUGGAGCGGUGAAAUGCGUUGAUAUCUACAGGAACUCCGGUGGCGAAAGCGGCGCGCUGGACCUCUUCUGACGCUGAGGCGCGAAAGCUAGGGGAGCAAACGGGAUUAGAUACCCCGGUAGUCCUAGCCCUAAACGAUGGGUACUAGGUAGUAGACUAGACAUGGGUUUACUGCCCGAAGCUAAAGCGCUAAGUACCCCCCCUGGGGAGUAUGGUCGCAAGGCUAAAACUC
rnacentral:rRNA from 1 species